AUGGGAUAAAAUGAUUAAUUUCCUUUGUUUUCUAGGUUGCUUCUGUAGUUCCCUAUUGUGGAAUUUCAGUGUAUGAAAUAUACAUAAUCGGACAAAUAAUGGCAAAACAUAAUCAUGGAGGAAGCUACCAGUACUGUAUGGACGCUUGUACGUUAUAAGGCCAGAUGAUUUUUAAAAUGUGUACCAACUUGAAACAAAAGUGCAAAAGUUUCUAAUUGUUCAAUGUAAUAUACAAACUGUUCAUGUGGAACAUUAAGAUUGCCAUAAGGAAAAGUUUCAGAAUUGUAGGUUUGUAAAUGAGAUAAUACUGUCAGGGCUAUGAAAGUCUCAGCUGACUCCAUAAGAAAUACAUGGGGAGCUUACGGAACGACAUAAAGAGGUCACUGGCGUCACUAAAGGUGCUCCGACCUUGAAGAACAUAGUUUCUUUUUCAUUUUAAGGUUUUCGGUGAACGUUUUGUCUGGUUUUGUCAACAAGAAAUGUCAUAUUAUUUACGGAAUCAUACGGGAUGUUGGGUUAUGGGGUUAAAAACAAACGUAAAAUUUAUUUUAACAAAGUAAUAGAUACUUACGACACAGUCUUACGAUACAUGUAAAAAAUACUAGAAAAUUCCAGGCUAAAGAGGUCAACAAACUGCAGGUUAAACGAAAUAGUUUAAUUUUCGCUGUGUGCGUGUUUGAGCGGUCCAAGAUUUAUUUUUAAAUUUUAGUGUGUAAAAAAUUCUAACUCUAAUAAAAACUGAGACGAGGUAAUCAAGAGGAAAGUCUUUGCAGGGGUGGUGGAAUGGUAUUUUUGUAUGGUUCGUUUUUUAGCCGCAAACCAGUUAACGAAUACAGUGCAUAAAUUGGGUAAAACUCACAAAAUAUAUUACCCACUACCGGAGUAUAAACUGCAAAUGUUUAGGUGGCAUCAUUAAAUCGCCAAAAAUCACAUCUUCAUUGAAAACUUUAAAAUGUCACACAAUUAAAACAGGAUGUACCACUUCGUAAGAAUGUGCAAAGUUCACACAAACUUCGCAGAAGUGGUGGUGUAAGAAUGUGAGUUUCCGGUAACUCACAUCACUUAAUGAUUGUUGAAGAGGCCGGAAUACAGGGAAGAUGUGUUGUGGAAGUUUGUUUAAAAGAACACCUUAGCAAAUUUUUCAUUUCAAAUAAAAUAGUGUUUCACAGUUGGUUCUUGCACUCGUAUCGAAAUAAUCUGUAGUAAAUAGUUUCCGAAACGUUCUUUGGAAUUCUAUUGGUGUGGGAUUUAUACAAUUCCCAAAUUGACGCCUCACAGAGCCAAACAAAUAUGUCAAACAAUACUGAUUUAGUUGCAGCAACCUUUUAGUGAAAAUUGUAAACAAAUUGUAUUCUGUGAAAACUAUUAAAAAUAAUAAGCAAAAUGUUUAUGUUCCUGAA